UUAAGUUACUAAGAGUGUAUGGUGGAUAACUUGGGACUAAUAGGCGAUGAAGGACGUGAUAUCCUGCGAUAAGUUUCGGGGAGCCGGAAAAUAGGCUACGAUCCGGAAAUGUCCGAAUGGGGCAACCCAUUACCAGUAAUGUGGUAAAGUCUGAGUCUCAUAAUACUUAGAAGCAAACCCGGAGAACUGAAACAUCUUAGUAUCCGGAGGAAAAGAAAACAAAUUAGUGAUUCCCAUAGUAGUGGCGAGCGAACUGGGAAUAGCCCAAACCAAUUAUGUUUGUAAAUUGGGGUUGUAGGAAAAUGCUGAUUUUAAUAUCAAGAGUUAUCAAAGUUAUUGAUAGAAGAAGUGGUUGGAAAGCCACACCAAAGAAGGUGAAAGUCCAGUAUUCGAAAUCAAUAGUCCUCUGCAUUUCAUCCUGAGUACCACGAGACACGUGAAAUCUUGUGGGAAUCCACGGGGGCCACCCCGUAAGGCUAAAUACUCAUUAGUCACCGAUAGUGAACUAGUACCGUGAGGGAAAGUUGAAAAGAACCCCGGAAGGGGAGUGAAAUAGAACUUGAAACCAUAACACUUACAAGAAGUCAAAGGGCGUUAAAGCCUAAUGGCGUGCUUUUUGCAGAAUGAGCCGGCGAGUUAUAAUUAUUGGCGAGGUUAAGUUUCUUGAGAAAUGGAGCCGUAGCGAAAGCGAGUUUUAAUAGAGCGAUUAGUCAAUGAUUAUAGACCCGAAACUAGGUGAGCUAACCAUGAGCAGGCUGAAGUGAGGAUGAAACCUCAUGGAGGGCCGAACCGGUGUUCGUUGAAAUGACCUCGGAUGACUUGUGGUUAGAGGUGAAAUGCCUAUCGAACCUAGAGAUAGCUGGUUCUCCCCGAUAUAGUUGUAGGACUAGCGCCAGAGUGAAAACAGUGGGGGUAGAGCACUGAAUAGAGAAGGGCCUUUAACCGGGUACCGCCUCUAAUUAAACUCCGAAUACCAUUGUCUAUUAUCUGGUAGUCAGUCUGUGGGGGAUAAGCUCCAUGGACGUGAGGGAAACAGCCCAGAUUAUCGGCUAAGGUCCCUAAAUAGUAUUAAGUGUAGAAGGAAGUUGUGAGACUAAAACAGCUAGGAGGUUGGCUUGGAAGCAGCCAUCCUUUAAAGAGUGCGUCAUAGCUCACUAGUCUAGUCGAGCAGUGCCGAGAAUGCAAGGGGGCUCAAAUACUAUACCGAAGCCAUAGGCUAGUUGGCAAUAAAAGAAUUAUUAAUUAUUGAGAUUAAGAGAAUGAAAAAAGUUCAAAAAAAAUGUCGACAUAAACAGGUUAUUUCUGAAAAAGGAAUCAACUGCCUCGUUUGUUCCAAAUGUGGAGAAAAGAGUAUGCGAUUAUAUGUAGAUAGUUAAUAUUUUUUCUUUUGCCAACUAGCGGUAGGGGAGCGUAGUAAAAGUAUUGAAGUUAAACCGAAAGGAUUAAUGGAGUUUUUACUAGUGAGAAUGCCGGCGUGAGUAACGAAAGAAGGUGAGAAUCCUUCUGGCCGUAUGACCAAGGUUUCCAGGGUUAAGGUCGUCUACCCUGGGUUAGUCGGGGCCUAAGGCAAGGCCGAAAGGCGUAGCCGAUGGAUAACAGGUUAAUAUUCCUGUACUCGCCAUAAUUACUGAUGGAGCGACGAAGUCAGCUAAGAUAAACCAGUUAUUGAUUCUGGUCCAAGUAUAAAGAGGUCUGGGUUGGCAAAUCCGCCCAGUUUAACCUUGAAAUAUGAUGGGUAGGCAACGAAUUAUCCGAACGCUUUACUUCCAAGAAAAGUUUCUAAAGAUAUAAUUAUGGCACCCGUACCUAGAACGAACACACGUGGUCGAGGAGAAUAUCCACAGGCCAGCGAGCAAACUAUAGUUAAGGAACUCGGCAAAUUAGCCCCGUAAGUUCGCGAGAAGGGGUGCCUAGGGCAACCUAGGCCGCAGUGAAGAGGCACCGGCAACUGUCUACUUACAACACAGCUCUCUGCUAACUCGUAAGAGGAUGUAUAGGGGGCGACGCCUGCCCAGUGCUCCAAGGUUAAGAGGAGGGGUUAGCCAGUAGUAAGAUACUGGUGAAGCUCUGAAUUGAAGCCCGAGUGAACGGCGGCCGUAACUAUAACGGUCCAAAGGUAGCGAAAUUCCUUGUCAGGUGAAAAGAAUUUGCCUGAAAACAGUAGCAAUAUUGUUUAAGUAAACUGACUAAUAACGGUGAACCCUAAGUUUUGGUUUUCUAUCAAAAUAUGGGAAUACCGUGGGAACACAAUAAUUUUGUGACCCGUAACGACUGAAACGAAAGUUGAGAAUUUGCGAAAAACGAAUUAAUACGUCAGCCCUUAUUUAGUAAAAGAUAAUCAUGAAAUUAUUGUCUAAUAAACUUAAUUUCUAAAAUUAUUGGAUAAGGUGAAGAUAUAGUCUGAACUAGUAGGAAACUAUUAGCGAACACAUUUGAAGUUCUGACCCGCAUGAAAGGCGUAAUGACUGGUGUACUGUCUCAACUAUAGGCUCGGUGAAAUCUUAGUACCGGUGAAGAUGCCGGUUACCCGCAACUAGACGGAAAGACCCCGUGGAGCUUUACUGCAACUUGAUAUUGACUUUUUUUCUGAUAUGUGUAGGCUAGGUGGGAGACUGUGAGGCUUGGACGCCAGUUCAAGCGGAGUCAAAAGGUGAAAGACCACUCUUAUUAGCAGAAAAUUCUAACUUAUCGGUUUACAGCCGAAAGGACAGUGUUUGGUGGGUAGUUUGACUGGGGCGGUCGCCUCCUAAAAAGUAACGGAGGUGUUCAUAAGGUAUCCUCAGUAGGUAUAGAAAUCCUACGGUGAGCGUAAAGGCAAAAGGAUGCUUAACUGUGAGACUAACAAGUCGAACAGAUGCGAAAGCAGGACUUAGUGAUCCGGUGGUUCUUAGUGGUAAGGCCAUCGCUAAACGGACAAAAGUUACCCCGGGGAUAACAGGCUAAUACUUCCCAAGAGACCACAUCGACGGAAGUGUUUGGCACCUCGAUGUCGACUCAUCGCAUCCUGGUGGUGAAGAAGCUACCAAGGGUUGGGCUGUUCGCCCAUUAAAGCGGUACGUGAGUUGGGUUAAGAACGUAGGAACACUGCGUUGAUUGAUAGUAAUAUCAGUCUAGUAUCGGCUAAUAUCGGUGAAGCCUUCUUCAGUUACAAACUGGCUGAAAUGGUAAUACCGAGGGAAGAAUAAAUUAUAAUAAUGAAAGAUAUCUCUGACCAAGAAAAGUCUUAUAUAGCAGGUUUUUUGGAUGGCGAUGGGUGUAUUAAUGCCCAAAUAGUUCGCCGUCCGGACUACCAACUGCGAUUUCAAAUUCGAGUAAGUAUAACCUUUUUUCAAAAAUCUAAUCGUCAUUGGUUUCUCUUAUGGUUAAAAAAGAAAUUAGUUUAUGGAGCGAUCCGGAAACGUCCUGAUGGAAUUUCGGAGUAUGCCAUUGUAGGAAAUCAAAUAGUUAAGAUUAUUUUGGAAAAUUUACAAGGACACUUACAAUUGAAAAGAAAGCAGGCUAAAUUGGUUUUAGAUAUUAUUAAUAAUCUGUCAAAAUUACAAAAUCCGCCGACUUUUAUAAAGUUGUGCGGAUUGAUUGAUAAGAUGGUAUUUCUCAAUGAUUCGAAAAAAAGAACCAUAACUGCUUUAGUAGUGAGAAAUGAAUUAGAAAAACAUAAUUUAUUCCCCGUAGAGACUGAGGGAAUAAAAACCCGAGAUAUUUUUUCUGGUGAGAAAAAAUAUAAAACGCCGACUCCUGCUGAUUAAGUAGGAUGAAGAUAUAGUCCAUGCCUUAUUGAAAAAUAAGGGUUUACAUGCGUGAGACAGUUUGGCCCCUAUCUGUUGUGGGCGUAGGAAAUUUGCGAAGAUCUGCUCUUAGUACGCAAGGACCAGAGUGGACUGACCACUGGUGUACCAGUUGUCCUAUCAAGGGCACGGCUGGAUAGCCACGUCGGGAUUAGAUAAGCACUGAAAGCAUAUAAGUGCGAAACUAACUUCAAGAUAAGAUUUCCCAUCCGUAAGGAGUAAGAUACCUUCUAGACCAGGAGGUUGAUAGGUGGCAAAUGUAAGCAUAGUAAUAUGUUGAGUUAAGCCAUACUAAUUUAUCGAGGACUUAUUUUU
rnacentral:rRNA from 1 species